rnacentral:rRNA from 1 species
UACGGGGGGGGCAAGCGUUGUUCGGAAUUACUGGGCGUAAAGGGCUCGUAGGUGGCCAACUAAGUCAGACGUGAAAUCCCUCAGCUUAACUGGGGAACUGCGUGUGAUACUGGAUGGCUUGGAUUUGGGAGAGGGAUGCGGAAUUCCAGGUGUAGCGGUGAAAUGCGUAGAUAUCUGGAGGAACACCGGUGGCGAAGGCGGCAUCCUGGACCAAUAUUGACGCUGAGGAGCGAAAGCUAGGGGAGCAAACGGG